rnacentral:rRNA from 1 species
GUGAGUAACACGUGAGCAACCUGCCCCAGACUCUGGGAUAACUUCGGGAAACCGGAGCUAAUACCGGAUAUGACACUCGCACGCAUGUGCUGGGUGUGGAAAGUUUUUCGGUCUGGGAUGGGCUCGCGGCCUAUCAGCUUGUUGGUGAGGUAGUGGCUCACCAAGGCGACGACGGGUAGCCGGCCUGAGAGGGCGACCGGCCACACUGGGACUGAGACACGGCCCAGACUCCUACGGGAGGCAGCAGUGGGGAAUAUUGCACAAUGGGCGAAAGCCUGAUGCAGCGACGCCGCGUGAGGGAUGACGGCCUUCGGGUUGUAAACCUCUUUCAGCAGGGAAGAAGCGAAAGUGACGGUACCUGCAGAAGAAGCACCGGCUAACUACGUGCCAGCAGCCGCGGUAAUACGUAGGGUGCGAGCGUUGUCCGGAAUUAUUGGGCGUAAAGAGCUUGUAGGUGGUUUGUCGCGUCUGCUGUGAAAAUCCGGGGCUCAACCCCGGACUUGCAGUGGGUACGGGCAGACUAGAGUGUGGUAGGGGAGACUGGAAUUCCUGGUGUAGCGGUGGAAUGCGCAGAUAUCAGGAGGAACACCGAUGGCGAAGGCAGGUCUCUGGGCCAUUACUGACACUGAGAAGCGAAAGCAUGGGGAGCGAACAGGAUUAGAUACCCUGGUAGUCCAUGCCGUAAACGUUGGGAACUAGG